rnacentral:misc_RNA from 1 species
CUCCCUUUCAUUAUAUCCCUCUUCUCCUAGGGUUCUUCUCUUUCAAACAGCAUCACAUAUCUAUCAACCUUCAUCUCUCCUCUUUCUUCCACUUAACUUCCAAGAAAAUUUACUCAUCUCUGAUUCUGUCAUAUACCAAUUUUUUUUUUGUUCAAUCAACAACCAAUCAUGCCUUUGCCAUGGAAGAAGGCCAAAGUUUCAAGAAUUUCUCGUAUUGUUGCGGAUCUCCAGCCAC